GUAGCGGCGAGCGAACGGGGAGCAGCCCAGAGUCUGAAUCAGCUUGUGUGUUAGUGGAACGGUCUGGAAAGUCCGACGGUACAGGGUGAUAGUCCCGUACACCAAAAUGCACAGGCUGUGAACUCGAAGAGUAGGGCGGGACACGUGGUAUCCUGUCUGAAUAUGGGGGGACCAUCCUCCAAGGCUAAAUACUCCUGACUGACCGAUAGUGAACCAGUACCGUGAGGGAAAGGCGAAAAGAACCCCGGCGAGGGGAGUGAAAAAGAACCUGAAACCGUGUACGUACAAGCAGUGGGAGCACCUUCGGGUGUGACUGCGUACCUUUUGUAUAAUGGGUCAGCGACUUAUAUUCUGUAGCAAGGUUAACCGUAUAGGGGAGCCGCAGGGAAACCGAGUCUUAACUGGGCGUUAAGUUGCAGGGUAUAGACCCGAAACCCGGUGAUCUAGCCAUGGGCAGGUUGAAGGUUGGGUAACACUAACUGGAGGACCGAACCGACUAAUGUUGAAAAAUUAGCGGAUGACUUGUGGCUGGGGGUGAAAGGCCAAUCAAACCGGGAGAUAGCUGGUUCUCCCCGAAAGCU
rnacentral:rRNA from 2 species